rnacentral:lncRNA from 10 species
GGACCAACUUGAAAUGGCCUGAGAUUGCCCCUGUGGCCAGGCUGGGCCAUUAGGGCUAGAUGUUGGAACUGGAGAAAGGACCCUGAGGAGGAGGCCACAGGGAAGAAUAUUCAGGGAACAGCAGCUCCCAGGUUUCUCCAUGGUCUUGUUUUGAUUCAGCACUCCAGGUAGGAGAGAAACCAAAGGGAGGUAGCACAAGGUAAGCAAAAGUUAGCUGAAGAUGUAGAUUGUCCAUACUCAUUAAGAAAAUUUGCUGGCUGAGCAUGGUGGCUCA